rnacentral:rRNA from 1 species
GGGACACGUGGUAUCCUGUCUGAAUAUGGGGGGACCAUCCUCCAAGGCUAAAUACUCCUGACUGACCGAUAGUGAACCAGUACCGUGAGGGAAAGGCGAAAAGAACCCCGGCGAGGGGAGUGAAAAAGAACCUGAAACCGUGUACGUACAAGCAGUGGGAGCACCUUCGGGUGUGACUGCGUACCUUUUGUAUAAUGGGUCAGCGACUUAUAUUCUGUAGCAAGGUUAACCGUAUAGGGGAGCCGCAGGGAAACCGAGUCUUAACUGGGCGUUAAGUUGCAGGGUAUAGACCCGAAACCCGGUGAUCUAGCCAUGGGCAGGUUGAAGGUUGGGUAACACUAACUGGAGGACCGAACCGACUAAUGUUGAAAAAUUAGCGGAUGACUUGUGGCUGGGGGUGAAAGGCCAAUCAAACCGGGAGAUAGCUGGUUCUCCCCGAAAGCUAUUUAGGUAGCGCCUCGUGAAUUCAUCUUCGGGGGUAGAGCACUGUUUCGGCUAGGGGGUCAUCCCGACUUACCAACCCGAUGCAAACUACGAAUACCGAAGAAUGUUAUCACGGGAGACACACGGCGGGUGCUAACGUCCGUCGUGAAGAGGGAAACAACCCAGACCGCCAGCUAAGGUCCCAAAGUCAUGGUUAAGUGGGAAACGAUGUGGGAAGGCACAGACAGCCAGGAUGUUGGCUUAGAAGCAGCCAUCAUUUAAAGAAAGCGUAAUAGCUCACUGGUCGAGUCGGCCUGCGCGGAAGAUGUAACGGGGCUAAACCAUGCACCGAAGCUGCGGCAGCGACACUAUGUGUUGUUGGGUAGGGGAGCGUUCUGUAAGCCUGCGAAGGUGUGCUGUGAGGCAUGCUGGAGGUAUCAGAAGUGCGAAUGCUGACAUAAGUAACGAUAAAGCGGGUGAAAAGCCCGCUCGCCGGAAGACCAAGGGUUCCUGUCCAACGUUAAUCGGGGCAGGGUGAGUCGACCCCUAAGGCGAGGCCGAAAGGCGUAGUCGAUGGGAAACAGGUUAAUAUUCCUGUACUUGGUGUUACUGCGAAGGGGGGACGGAGAAGGCUAUGUUAGCCGGGCGACGGUUGUCCCGGUUUAAGCAUGUAGGCUGGUUGUCCAGGCAAAUCCGGAUAAUCAAGGCUGAGGUGUGAUGACGAGGCACUACGGUGCUGAAGUAACAAAUGCCCUGCUUCCAGGAAAAGCCUCUAAGCAUCAGGUAACAUUAAAUCGUACCCCAAACCGACACAGGUGGUCAGGUAGAGAAUACCAAGGCGCUUGAGAGAACUCGGGUGAAGGAACUAGGCAAAAUGGUGCCGUAACUUCGGGAGAAGGCACGCUGGUGUGUAGGUGAAGUCCCUGCGG